UACAGAGGGGGCAAGCGUUGUUCGGAAUUACUGGGCGUAAAGGGCGCGUAGGCGGCCUGCUAAGUCGAACGUGAAAUCCCCGGGCUCAACCCGGGAACUGCGUCCGAUACUGGCAGGCUUGAAUCCGGGAGAGGGAUGUGGAAUUCCAGGUGUAGCGGUGAAAUGCGCAGAUAUCAGGAGGAACACCUAUGGCGAAGGCAGCUCGCUGGGACGGUACUGACGCUGAGGCGCGAAAGCUAGGGGAGCAAACGGG
rnacentral:rRNA from 1 species